ACGCGUGCGCAGGUAUAUUGAUCUUUCAUGAACUUGGCUUCGAUUCUAAUGAACUAAUGAUGCGUUAAAGCAUUUGAUGUACUUUUAAAGACUCAUAACUGUGCAAAUUUUAGUGUUCCAAAUUGCUUUCCAUGCGUAUGUUGAAUGUCUCGGUGAUUCUCAUCGUCAAAGUUCUCCGGGCAUGAGGACUGGGUUGUAUAUGCAGCAUCUAUUCAAGCUUCAAAGUAGCGCGGCACAAUGACUGUAAGGAAGUGAACCUUUUAUCCCUCCAACACCCAAGGCCACCAGGUAGAGGCCACCAAAUAACAUUGCUGCUUGGCCACGACCAGCUUCGUUACAGGAGGUGUUUCUGUUUAUGGAUGCACAGAUAGGCGGCCUCAGGGAAGUUUCCUGUGAUUGUUAUUAAGGUCCAGAUUGGCAGGUGUAGGAAGGUGUACUCUAUCUACAUAUGCUUUUGGAUAGUAGCAGACUAUACAAUGCUAGGAAAACAUUGAUCUCAAAGAGAUUCAACAAGUGUUAUGUGGUGGUGAGGCAAGCAUCAGAUGAAAACCCGCCAAGUAGAGCGAGAAGGAAGGAAGUUCCCAUAAAGUUGGUAACUAUGUUGGCUGAAGCAGAUGGAGAAAAAUUCAUAUUUUUUGAUAGAUAAAGGACUAGAUUGCUCGCAGUUGCCAGGUAAUGAUUUUAUGGAAGUGGUGUUGUUUUUUGGCCAUCAAACUGAAAGGUUACAAUUAUAGGUGCUGGUUUCAUGACGUGCAUUGCACAGUAAGAAGGGAUUAUUGGUUCCUAUAUAUGGUAUGUUGAGACGUCUAGAACAGUUGGAAUCUUUGACAUUACUGUUAAGUUUCGCAAUUAUGUUUUCCUCUCUUGUUUUUUUUUUUUGAGGGGACUCUUCCUUAUUAGUUGUUCUUUUUUUCUUUACUGUGUUCUUGUAUAAUCUCCUAUAAAUAUGUGGGCAAGUUCAUCAUUAUCUGAAGUCAAAUAUCUUGCAAAACUUUAUGCCGAUGCUCAUCCACCCUUGCAUUAGUUCGGUGGACUUCGGAUGUUCUACAUCCUUCUUAUGCUCAACUGAAGGAGCUGGAAAACCAUCAUUUAAGACAUGUCUGGUUAUGCCAAGUCGACAAUGCAUCUUUUAAGUGUUUGGACUCUGGAUUCUUAUCCAUAGUCCAGGUUAUGGCAAGCUGAUCAUGUUGCAACUAACUUUUAGGCCCAUAAAAUAGUAAAUAUGUUCGAUGGUUGCUAAUGAUAUUCCUAUUGGGACCUUACCAAGCAUUUUGUGCUCAAUUUUGAAAGCUCCUAUUGUGACAGGGAGGCCUUAGUCAAGAAAUUGGUGAAUUGGGUCAAAAAUGUCCUCGUCAUUCCUUUCUGUGGCUCACAGGCUUUUUAGUGUUCCCGCUGUAUAUUUAUCUGUACUAACUGGGCUGAAGUGCUUCUUUUUUUUCCCGCCUCAGAUUAUUGCAUUGCUUGCUGCUUUUGGAAUCCUUAAAUCGUUUACUUCAUCAUCUUGGGAAAUUCAAGAUGAAGAGCCAGUAGCCACAUAGUUUUUAACAUUACUCUCCUGUGCCUAUCAUUUUUGUCUUGGAGUUCCUGUAUCUGGCCUCUGGAAAGAGCCGGUGGAUGGGAGUGGGAUGUGAAGUGGAUAUAAGUAUUCCUAUUUCUGGACAGAGAUAGGAAGUUUUUUGUUAGGAAAAGGACCUGGACAGGAAAAGGCUUACCUGAUUGGUUGCUUGGUCUCAGGAGUCAGGGGUCACAUGUGCCCUUUUCCUUCUGAAAGAGGGAACUCCAGUGGACAGUGGUGCUAUUUUGAAACCUAAGUAGACCACUUGAAUGUCCUAUCUGGAUGAUGCCAGAUGCAUUUGAUAAACAAAACUAAUUCAGUUUAUAGCUACCACGGUCUAAAAUAUUAGGGACCUUGGUGUAAAUGUCAGCAAAUGAUUCAUAUAUUAAAAAAAAGGUUCAGCAAAAAUAAUUCUGAAAAACACUGGUUUCAAGGAAAUACAUCUGUGGCAAUUGAUUUGCCUAGCAUAUGCAAGUUUGACACUGUUAGCUAAGUUGUGAUCAUUCUUUUUACCUUACUGGCUGGAGAGACGUAGUAACCUGCAACUCUUUACUGAGUUAACAUACAAAUGAGUUAAACCUGAGACAAGCUACCAGUCAACCUGUUUAUUCUUACCCUUGUCCUUGUAGUUAAAAGGAAGCUCAUUCCCAGAAACAAACAGGGGCAUAGCCUUUGUACAGUUGAAGUCCUAAUCUUUUGUAAUCUAAUUCAUCAUGUAAAGAAUGAAAAUUCACGUAUUGAAGAGCCGGUCUGAAAAGAUGAGUGUGAUGUUUGUAAGACGGAGGAUGAAAGAGAUUAUUGUAUUGGUAAAAAAUAAAUGUUACACGUGGAAUUAUAUGAGGAUGACAGGGCAAGAUACGUGGAUCACUAAGAAGAUGACAACUAGAGUGUCGCAUUAAAAGAUUCACAAUUUACAACAGGUACGAACAAAUCACUUACGAGACGAAAGGGUACGGUUGUUCGAGCCUAAAUUACUCAGACACAGGCAGGAUGAAUCAAGACAGUAAAGAGGGAAGAUUCAUGAACCUCUAAUUAAUGUGGAAAAAGAAUCAGAACCGUUACAGAAUCUUCAUGAGCAGUUACAGUUGCCAAUUAUAACAUUUCAUUAAUGUCAUUAAUGCUCAUAAUGAUUCGGUCAUAAAAGGGAAGAAACGUUAUGUUUGUAAAUUUCUAUAUAAGGGAAGGGAAUUUCACUUUUAAGGACACGUUCUGAAGAACAUUGGAAUAUAAUUAUUUUCUUGUGCUUUCUAUUGA